rnacentral:rRNA from 1 species
CCUACGGGAGGCAGCAGUGGGGAAUAUUGGGCAAUGGGCGCAAGCCUGACCCAGCAACGCCGCGUGAAGGAAGAAGGCUUUCGGGUUGUAAACUUCUUUUAAGAGGGAAGAGCAGAAGACGGUACCUCUUGUAUAAGCCACGGCUAACUACGUGCCAGCAGCCGCGGGAAUACGUAGGUGGCAAGCGUUGUCCGGCUGUACUGGGUGUAAAGGACGGGCAGCCGGGAAGACAAGUCAGAUGUGAAAUCCCGCGGCUAAACCGGGGAACUGCAUUUGAAACUGUGUUUCUUGAGGACCGGAGAGGUCAUCGGAAUUCGUUGUGUAGCGGUGAAAGGCGUAGAUAUAAGGAAGAACACCAGGGGCGAGGGCGGAUGACUGGACGGCAACUGACGGUGAGGCGCGAAAGCGUGGGGAGCAAACAGGAUUAGAUACCCCAGUAGUC